CUAUAAUCUCAUGAAAACAAAGGCCUAUAAUAUGUUACGCUGGAGAUUCGAUCCAAUCUGGAAUUAAUCCGAAGAUAUUUUCAGAGUAGUGCUUUAGGUUGAGAGAGGUUUAGACCUAAAAAAUCCCCACCAAUUUCAGCGGAAAAAUUUAUAGUGGAAUUACAUAUCUCUUACCUACCAAUUACCUAAAAACUGGCUUGGCAGGAGUGGAAGGCCGAUCAGCUCACUCACGUGAUUAUCGUUCCAUCCGUGAAGGAAUAUGGAUCGGGGGUUCACUAUACUUCAUACCUGUUCCUAGAUCAGAUUCAUAUCCUCAUCCAUCCAUAUGUGUAAAGUAGUGCAGAACAGUCACAGGUGAAUUCCAGACUAUGUCGACAUCAUAACAGUUGUUUUGGAAUUCGGUUCUGCAUUUGUCAAUGCAAUGUCUUUAGCUACGAAACAACAAGAUAUCCAGAGGUUGAUGAGGAUGAUCUAUGUGGUGCCACAACUUCUAUUAUGUUUGUGCUUUCCAUGGUACAAGCACAAGGUUUCAGUUUCCUAGCAAGCUUCAACAACAUGGUAGAUCAUGAUGUGGUGGAAAGCAUUGGGAACAAGGCAAAUGCUCCAAGCUGGUUUGCCGUCACAUUUGCCACCGUGGGUGUUGCUUGCUCAUGCCUCAGUUUUAUCAUUCUCCAUCAUGCCAUCAUACAGAAUCUGGAGAAAUUGCUCGUCAACGUUCAUUCUCAGCCACCUCAGUCAUCUCUUGAAAUUGUCACUGUUGAAGCUGUUUUGAUGUUAUAGUUAAGGAAGUACUUUAUGAUAUUCUGAGGUCUAAACUUAGUACUUUAAAGAUAUACCAGUUUGUUGGUUUUUUUCUGAAU